CCUGCCAUGCUGAUGAAGGUUAGGGAUGGCUAGCCCAUGAAAUUGUGCACCGGCCAGGAACGUGUAACGGUGGCGAGAAAUGAACCUGAGACCAUGUGACCCCGGCAGGACCACUGCUUCCCAAGCUCAUUCAGGGAACGUGGGUCUCUGCUCUGUGUCGCGGAGUGUUACUCUGCGGCAGCUACCUCUUCAGCAGUCGAGUCGCCCCGCCUCUCGGCAAUCAACCGCGGCCGGGGCGUGCGCAGGACAAUUUCCUAACGCGCUGCAACCAAUCACCAAGCAGCAUCUCUCCGUAGCCCCGCCUCCCAGGGAGAACCGGGAGAGAAUAGUUUGCUGAACCAGUGACGUCUGGUAAAACCGCGAGACGCUGCCGUGGCCAAUGAAUGUAACCGUAGAGAGGAGAACGGAAAUCACCUGGGCGCCAUGUUAGUUAGGGGCAGAGUCACUUCCCGUUACUUCUGCUGCAACCCUCUGGUGGCGGAGAGUGGGUUGGGAUUUAAUAGAGCGCUUCGGUACCAACAUACCAUACUGUUCGCUACCUCCGGUUUUGGGACUGAGCUCAUUUAUUAAAGAACUCUCUCUCUCUCUCUUUUUU